CAUCCAUGACUCGGAAAGAAACAUCCAUAUUCAUCAUAUAAAUGCUUGCACCUACCGGGAUUCGAACCCGGGACCUCUAGCUUAGUAGAUAGGAUCGUUAACCACUCGGCUAUACAGGUCUAUAUGUAUAGAUUGUCUUGUUCGGUCAUAGCAAUGGUUUCUUAGCGUGGGCGGGUGUAAGGUGGCCUUGCAGAAUAUUAUAUAUUUAUACAAUAACAUUUUGGAUAGGAAAGUGGGAUUUUAUAUAACUUAUGCGUAUUAUUUCAAGUCAAUUCGUUAUUGAGUGAGUAAAAAGAUGUUAAAUGAAGCGCAAAACUUAUUAUGAAGUUAUGAAAACAAUUGAAAUUAGAUAGAUUUUAUUCAUGUUCACUGAAUGUGCCUUAAAUUUAUUUUUAAGUAAAAGACGAAUGAAUGGGAAAAAUACUAUUGAAAUUAUCACUAAAAUUUAUUUAAUAAAUUACCUAAAAAUCUAA